rnacentral:rRNA from 1 species
UUGCUGGCCCCUGACGGGGGCACGUGCACGCUCUGUUUACGCAUCCACUCACACCUGUGCACCCUCGGUAGUUCUAUGGUUCGGGAGACCCCGUCUUCCUUCCGUGGCUCUACGUCUUUACACACACACGACGUCUCAUGGAAUGUUUUUCGCGUUUAACGCAAUACAAUACAACUUUCAGCAACGGAUCUCUUGGCUCUCGCAUCGAUGAAGAACGCAGCGAAAUGCGAUAAGUAAUGUGAAUUGCAGAAUUCAGUGAAUCAUCGAAUCUUUGAACGCACCUUGCGCCCCUUGGUUAUUCCUUGGGGCAUGCCUGUUUGAGUAUCAUGAACACCUCAACUCUCAUGGUCUUCCAUGACGAGCUUGGACUUUGGAGGUUUGCUGGCCCUGCGGCCGGCUCCUCUCAAACAAAUCAGCUUGCCAGUGUUUGGCGGCAUCUCACGGGUGUGAUAACUAUCUACGCUCGCGGUUGUCUGCCAGGUAACCCUCAGCGAUGAAGGUUCAUUGGGGCUCAUAAACGUCUCUCCUCGGCGAGGACAACUUUUGAACGUUCGAUCUCAAAUCAGGUAGGACUACCCGCUGAACUUAAGCAUAUCAAUAAGCGGAGGAAAAGAAACUAACAAGGAUUCCCCUAGUAACUGCGAGUGAAGCGGGAAGAGCUCAAAUUUAAAAUCUGGCGUGCCUC